UGGCGGACGGGUGAGUAAUGUCUGGGAAACUGCCCGAUGGAGGGGGAUAACUACUGGAAACGGUAGCUAAUACCGCAUAACGUCGCAAGACCAAAGAGGGGGACCUUCGGGCCUCUUGCCAUCGGAUGUGCCCAGAUGGGAUUAGCUAGUAGGUAAGGUAACGGCUUACCUAGGCGACGAUCCCUAGCUGGCCUGAGAGGAUGAUCAGCCACACUGGGACUGAGACACGGCCCAG
rnacentral:rRNA from 1 species